ensembl:lncRNA
AGCUUCUGUCAUGGAUUCCUGCUUAUGAAUAGAUAAAACAGUGUACUGAAAGCUGCUGGGCAAAACUGUUGUGCUGAAUCCUUGGCAAGUUUCAGAAAGACAAACGCGAUGUUGUCAGACCAUCACCCAGUACAGUUGCAGUCACUCAACAGGCCAAAAGCAAGAUCCUGAUCUUGGGCAUCUCAGGAGCUGGACAUGAUGGCCCUGGGGAGUUCCUUCCAUCUCAGGAUAAUCUGAUUGCUGAACUGCUACUUACAGCUUUUCACAGCCUUCCUACUUGUUCUUGUUCAGUGCGUCUGUUUGAAAGUGUCUUGAAGAUGAAGUUAUUUCCUGGAGGAAUUCUGAAGGCAACAAGAAGCAUUUUCUCAAGGAGGGAAAAAAAAAAAACCAAACCCUGGAGUGACUUGUGCCUAAAUCCUGGAGCAGAACAGAGUGGCAGCCAGGGCUGCUUACCAGUCUUAAGGAUCCGGGUGCUGGAAUCAAUGCUGCUGUCAGCCAAACUGCUCCGUGCUAAUGCUGACAGCAUUUUUGCCUUUUUGUCUCUCUGGGGAUUCUCAAGUAGGAAAGAAAACUGUGGUGUUACUGCUGGGAGGAUUUUUCCUGAUCCUGAGGGAAUCCAUUCUGGAAGCUUGAUCCAAAUGACAGCUGCCUCCAAUUACCACUCUACACAUUGCUGUGGUUAUUUGGUUACAAUCAAGACUGGAGGCUUGAUGACAGCUAGAAGUACCAGCAAGGAAACCUCAGAUGGUUCAGGCUACAGCAGCAUGGGUGCAGGACAACCUGGAUGAAAGUCAGCAGAACAUCUACAGGGCUAAUUAGGACCAUGACCUUGAAAAGGCAUUUUCCAGUACUGUUCACUUAGGUUGAAGCUAGAGACAGAGGAAGGUAUGCACUUCCCAUUAUGAGUGCUACUCCUAAGUUUUCCAACAGGUGCCAAGUAUGGUGGCUUUGAAAUGUAUUUUGGAGAGCUGACAAAGUGGUUAAAGCAGAUAAUUCAUAACAGGCUGUACUAAGACCAAAAAAACCCCACCAACUGGAGUGGUCAUUAAUUUGUGAGGUGAGCAGGCAGCACUCACCAAGCAAGUGGUGCACUGCCUGUUUCCCAGCCUGCCUCCAAACAUCUGCGCGCCUCAGAAGCAAGUGUAAUGUUAUUCUCCCAAGGUGACCCCCUGCUCUGCACUGCAGGAGAAUGAUGGUGAUGUUACAGGCUGGAAUGGAGUAGCAGAAGGUGAGUUGUUUGAAGGUGAAAUCCCAUACUUAUCUACUGCCGUGCUUUCUUUGUGAGGACCUGCAAACCCAUGGGGUGGUCUUUCUCUUUUCAUUCCUCUGCCUGUAUGCUUGGCUGAACCCCAGUGACUGAGCUGCAAGAAAGACCUUACAGUCUGCUGGGAUGGAGGAGCAUCCAGAGAGCCUGGGAGACACCCAAUGUCCCCAGGCACUGAUGUACCCUCUCUAAUACCCACAG